CUCUGUGACCCUCCCUAACGUCACCUCUGUGACCUCCCUAACGUCACCUCUGUGACUAUGUCUGCGUCCCAAAUGGAACAUUUUCCUCUAUAAAGGCCACAACUUUUGACCAGAGCCUUAUGGGUAAAUGCCAUUUGGGACGAUUCUCUUGUAUGUGUGCUUGUGACUGAUGGAUUGACUAGCAGAGACUGAGUCUGAGUACCACUGUCAGAUAAGUAUGUGUCAGAUAGUUACUGUGUUGAAUAGUGUAAUGUUCUGGUUACAUGUGUAACAUACAGGGUAUGUAGUGUCAGGUACUUGAUCAGAUGCUUAGCUAAGAAAGUGUGUGGGAUGCUACUGCCUCCACGUUGUUGUUGUUGUUGUUGAUGUUGUUGUUUUUAACCAAGUCGAACUGUUGCCAUGAUAUGCUAUUACUUGGUUACGCACCGGAAUCUGGCGUUUCUAUUGAAUUAUGCUCUUUUUCUAGAAAGGACCAUGACUGUUACCCUAGCAACCCAUCGAUGCUAUUUAGAGGGCGUUACAUGUAAUGAAAGAUUGAACGGUGUUGAGAAUAUGUUCAAAUUGAAGCAAUACAUCCUAGUAUUGUUGUUCUAUCAGCCAUAUUACCCUGCACUGUGACACCAGCUAGCCGAGGCAGCUCUGGAGGCUGUCCCCUGACCCCUGUCUCCUCCACUCUCCUGGAGGCUGACCCCUGACCCCUGUCUCCACUCUUCUGGAGGCUUACCCCUGUCUCCUGCACUCUCUUGGAGGCUGACCCCUGUCUCCUCCACUCUCCUGGAGGCUUACCCCUGUCUCCUCCACUCUCCUGGAGGCUGACCCCUGUCUCCUCCACUCUCCUGGAGGCUGACCCCUGUCUCCUCCACUCUCCUGGAGGCUGACCCCUGUCUCCUCCACUCUCCUGGAGGCUGACCCCUGAACCCUGUCUCCUCCACUCUUCUGAAGGCUUACCCCUGUCUCCUGCACUCUCCUGGAGGCUGACCCCUGACCUCUCCACUCUCCUGGAGGCUGACCCCUGUUUCCUCCAAUCUCCUUUAGGCUGACCCCUGUCUCCUCCACUCUCCUGGAGGCUGACCCCUGACCCCUCCACUCUCCUGGAUGGCUAACUCCUGACCCCCGUCUCCUCCACUCUCCUGGAGGCUGACUCCUGACCCCUGUCUCCUCCACUCUCCUGGAGGCUGACUCCUGACCCCUGUCUCCUCCACUCUCCUGGAGGCUGACUCCUGACCCCUGUCUCCUCCACUCUCCUGGAGGCUGAGCCCUGUCUCCUCCAAUCUCCUGGAGGCUGACCCCUGUCUCCUCCACUCUCCUGGAGGCUGACCCCUCUCUCCUCCACUCUCCUGGAGGCUGACCCCUGACCCCUCCACUCUCCAGGACCAAGUAAAGCUUUAAGAGACAUCUCCUUUAGUGUAGUUCUAGUGUUGCUGCAGCCAGGCUUCCAGAAUUAGCGGCACAUUCCAAAUGACCUGAACAUUCCAGAUAUGAGCCUGGCGUUGUCCUCUGUCUGCCUCAAUAUCCCAGGUGGGGUUGUCAUACUGUAGGCGACAUAUAGAGAGAGAUAUGAGGUGAGAGAGUUGAUUGAUUCCAUGCUUUUGUAGUCUGAUUGUCAGUCUGUGUUUGACAGUUAAAGAACGAUUGGCUGAGUUUCUAUCCCUUUAUAAUGAAAAGGUCUUACUACCAUCUCUAACGAGGCUCAGCAGUUUUAGCCGAAUGCUUUCCAAAACAUCACAACGUGCCUGAACUUCUCUGUCUUUUUUUUUAUUACUAAAUGGAAUGUCAAUUGUUUCAAAUACCUUUUAAUCAUCAUGAACUUUUCCAUUGAGCUAACAAGCCUUUAUAAGUCAUUGUUUCCCCCAGUCUCAGUGAGUGUAGCGCUGAUGGACACUGUGUCUGCUGUUGGUGUGUUUUCAUGCCAUUUAGCAGAGGCUUUUAUUCAAACCACGAAGUGAUGUAUGCAUUCUUUAUGUGUGGAUGGUCACGGGAGUCAAACCCACUAUCCUGUUGUUGCAAGUGUCAUGCUCUACCAACUGACCUACAGAGGACCAGUGUAUUGUUAGGGAGUUUAGUCUGUAAGGGCAAAACCAGCUGGCUGACUGACCAGGGAGGAAUAAGAUGACCUUCUGUCUAACCUCUGACCUCUCCAACCCAGCUCUCCCACAGACAGGCUGACGUGUGUGUGUGUGUGUGUGUGUGUGUGUGUGUGUGUGUGUGUGUGUGUGUGUGUGUGUGUGUGUGUGUGUGUGUGUGUGUGUGUGUGUGUGUGUGUGUGUGUUCUCCAUCAACACAUCUUCCAACAGCCCUAACCAGUAGGAAAGCUCAAUAUUCACUUUAGUUUUGACCACAACUCUGUCACGCUUGCUCAAGUCACCCCUUAGUUAGCACUGAUCUAGGAUCAGCUUACACUCCCCAUAUCCAAACCUAAACCAUUAGUGGAGGGGGACUCUAAACAGACCGUAGCUCAGUGUCUGGGAGAAACUCCACUUUUCCCUGAACAUGUUGAUACUUUAGCAGGACUAGUAGUAACUAUGACUACAUCCUUUAGUAGCAGUGAGCCAAGCAGCUCUACAGCCAGGUGAGUUAGAGAGACAUCAUGUAGCUGUCUAUGCACUUUGACCUCUGGGAUAUCCAGAGGGUAGAAUAGCCAUAUUGAGGUCUCAGUGAUGCCCGGUUCAAUACACCAGCGAGACUCUGUGUGACUGACUGUUUCUCUGUAGAGAGACUGACUGCAUGGCAGUGACUGUUUCUCUGUAGAGACUGACUGCAUGGCAGCGACUGUUUCUCUGUAGAGAGACUGACUGCAUGGCAGUGACUGUUUCUCUGUAGAGACUGACUGCAUGGCAGUGACUGUUUCUCUGUAGAGACUGACUGCAUGGCAGUGACUGUUUCUCUGUAGAGACUGACUGCAUGGCAGUGACUGUUUCUCUGUAGAGACUGACUGCAUGGCAGUGACUGUUUCUCUGUAGAGACUGACUGCAUGGCAGUGACUGUUUCUCUGUAGAGACUGACUGCAUGGCAGUGACUGUUUCUCUGUAGAGAGUGACUGCAUGGCAGUGACUGUUUCUCUGUAGAGACUGACUGCAUGGCAGUGACUGUUUCCCUGUAGAGACUGACUGCAUGGCAGUGACUGUGCCUAAUGGUGGGGCUCCACAGGGUGCUCCUUAAAAAGCUUUAAACAUGUACCUUUCAGAUGUCUGUUACUACAACAUUGUUCAGCUCCAGUUUGGCUCACUGUGAAAGGUAGCUAACUAAAUGAAUAAGGUCAACUUGAAACAUGCAUUCGCUUUUUCUCCAGUGUGUUGCACAAAGGUUUUGUAGAAAGGCUCGGACAGUGGGUUUGAGAGGUGUGAUAAUAACUGAUCUUAUGAAAGGUUGAACAUGUAUUAAGGCCUUCCUGUAUUACAAAAAAGUGAAACACCUACAAAGCGCCUUAUUUCAUCAACUUUGUAUUUUCUUUUGAAUCUCUAAACGUUGUGGCUUAUUACUUUCACCAACUACUUGAGUAUUUAACUGUUCUGAAAUAAAACAUGUUGCAUCAUGGGGAAUAUAUGGCAUUGACCUCAACAUAUUCAACUGGAAUUGUUGUUUGAUGUUUUGUUGGAAUGACAGCUAAUAGUCUGGUGUUUCUAACAGUGGACAGACACAGGUCAAGCAUAAGGAAGACAGGUUAGUCUGACUGUACAGGCAGACAUAAGAGACAGGUUAGUCUGACUGUACAGGCAGACAUAAGAGACAGGUUAGUCUAACUGUACAGGCAGACAUAAGAGACAGGUUAGUCUAACUGUACAGGCAGACAUAAGAGACAGGUUAGUCUAACUGUACAGGCAGACAUAAGAGACAGGUUAGUCUAACUGUACAGGCAGACAUAAGAGACAGGUUAGUCUAACUGUACAGGCAGACAUAAGAGACAGGUUAGUCUGACUGUACAGGCAGACAUAAGAGACAGGUUAGUCUGACUGUACAGGCAGACAUAAGAGACAGGUUAGUCUAACUGUACAGGCAGACAUAAGAGACAGGUUAGUCUAACUGUACAGGCAGACAUAAGAGACAUGUUAGUCUAACUGUACAGGCAGACAUAAGAGACAGGUUAGUCUAACUGUACAGGCAGACAUAAGAGACAGGUUAGUCUAACUGUACAGGCAGACAUAAGAGACAUGUUAGUCUAACUGUACAGGCAGACAUAAGAGACAGGUUUGUGAGUUCAGGAUGAGUGUCUGUGGGUUUCUGGGAGAGAGGUGGAGGACAAUGCCUGCACAUUAAUACAAGUAUAAAUGUAUCAUUUUAAAUAUAAAACUAUAAAUAUUGUAUAGAAUGUCAUUCAUUUUUAUAAUCUUGACUGUACAUGUAAUGCAACCACCUUUCUUUUUGAAAGGAGUCUUUGAUGUUUUGUACAUGUAUGUAAAUGAUGUUUGCUUAGCAGUUGUUUGCAGCCUUCUCAAUGUAUGUUCGUCAAGGUUCAUUUCCGCGCUUCGAUACGUGUCCACGGUUUAUUAUACGUCAUGGAUUGAUGAAUUCAUAAUUGCCUGCAUAACUUUGUACAUGUUUGUGUCUCUCAUCACAGCAUAUUGUAUGGUCUGCGUUUUGUUUAGCAGUUGUACAGAUGUUACAUAUCACUGCGGCUACAUUACAGUAGGAGAAUAAAGCACUUGUUCUGUA
rnacentral:lncRNA from 1 species